CCUCCAGAUCUUUUGGGACUACAACUCCCAUCAUCCCUAGCUAACAGAACCAGUGGUCAGAGAUGAGGGGAGUUGUAGUCCCAAAACAUCUGGAGG
rnacentral:miRNA from 1 species